rnacentral:sRNA from 1 species
UAAUACGAUGGGCUUGAUGUUGCAGGA